UCCUUUGGAAUGUAAAAGAGGAGUAUCAAAAGACCAUAAUACCCCUAAGUUAAGGCGCCCUUGGAGUUUAUCCUAGGCUGCCUUGGAGUAUAUUCAAGGUCUCUCUUCACAUAUUAGCAAGUACACUCCCUUAGAUGAAGGAACAUACUCUCACGAGCUUCCAUCUUCAUAAAUGGCGCCUUGUAUGUUUGGACUUGAAGAAUGAAGCCUCUUUCAUUCUUUCAAAAUCGAGGAUGGUUCAUUCUUCAAGGUUUAUGGUCCUCGGGUUAGUAUCAAGGCAUGCAUCCAAGCAACCUUUCACACACGGAAUUGCUUUAUGUCUUGCUCAAAACGGGUCUUCCUUGCAUAUUCUUGUGCCCUCGAGGUGACCAAGUGUUGGGCCUUUAGGUAUUGGUCUCCAAAGAAGUUAUCAAAAGCUAAGACGACCAUUUGACUUGUAUCAUACUCCCAAAAUUUAGAGAAAAUAUAGUUAGAAGAUCAACAUAAAGGAGUCAGAUAUAUGCACAACAAAUUCAAAACUGAAAACGAAGUUCUCAUUCAUUAAUUAUAAGCAUACUAAAAGGAUAAAUUACUUAAUACGAUAUGAAAAUGUUAUUAAUCUCAGAGAUUCAACCCUUUAUAGAGGACUUAUAAUUAUCAAAUGAAGGUCGGAUUUGUAGCCCAAAGGAGAAGAGAUAACAUAGGAUAGCUUGAAAACACAUUCCAUGGGUAUUGAGUGCACAACACCUAAUGAGAGUUUGAGGUGAAAUGUUGUCUAAAUCAUACCAAAGCUGGACAAAAUGUAAUAUUAGCUCACUAAAAAGCUACGUAGAAGCAUAGACAACGAGCAAUUGUAAACGGAAGAAAGUCACCUGAGCCACCGGAAAUUGCCUGAGGUUUUAGUUCAUCGAAAAUCGCUUGAGCCGUCGAAAGUUGUUGGAAGCUGGUUGAACUCAUUGGAUAACGUAGGAAAAUUUUUUCCACUUUCCUUUUUCAUUUUAGCACUUUGCCUGAUUUGGACAUUUAAUUUUCUCUUUUAUAUUUUUAGAUUGGGGUUAGUUUUGG
rnacentral:lncRNA from 1 species